rnacentral:rRNA from 1 species
AGUGAACGCUGGCGGUAGGCCUAACACAUGCAAGUCGAACGGUAGCACAGUAAGAGCUUGCUAUUACGAGUGGCGAGUGGCGGACGGGUGAGGAAUACAUCGGCAUCUAUUUUUUCGUGGGGGAUAACGUAGGGAAACUGACGCUAAUACCGCAUACGACCUAAGGGUGAAAGCAGGGGAUCUUCGGACCUUGCGCGAUUGAAUGAGCCGAUGUCGGAUUAGCUAGUUGGCGGGGUAAAGGCCCACCAAGCGGUCAUACCGUAGCUGGUCUGAGAGGAAGUUCAGCCCCACUGGAACGAGAAAAGGCUCAAACCUCCAAGGGGGGGAGCCGGUGGGAAAUUUUGGACAAUGGGGGCAAUCCGGAUCCACCCAUACCGGGUGGGUGAAGAGGGCUUUCGAGUUUUAAAGCCCGUUUGUUGGGAAAGAAAAUCAGCAGGUUAAUACCCCGCUGUUCUGACGGUACCCAAAGAAUAAGCACCGGCUAACUUCGUG